CUCUCCCUUGUCACAGAUUGGUUGAGGGGUGGGCCGACCCUAGCCUGUUUGGGCCAAUGAGAGCCCGAGGGAGGCCUGAUGUGGCGUGAGGCUGUGGUCUGCAGAGUGGAAGGCUCCAAGAACCUGGUUUGGAGUCUCACCUUCUGUGUCUCCAGUUAAUACGAGGAAGUAAGUACAGCCUGGAAUUCCCCUCCUACUGGAAAACUGGACAACAAGCAAUACAUGAUUAUGAUCCCUAGGAAAAGAGAAACAAAUACGGUAAGCCAUACCUAGCCCAGGAGUAAGAAAUCUUAAUUCUAAACCUUUGUGCUUGAAAGUAAUUAUCAUACUGCAGUGAAGGGAAAGGGAACCCAGGGUCUAGCAAUCUUGCUGGGUUGAGGAGAAAGAGAUUGAAGUUUGGGGAGGCUAAAGCAGCUUUAAUUUAUGGGUCAGACUACUGGAAACGAAGGAGGUACACAAAGAAAGGCCUCCAGAAAUCUGUACAAUUUAUGGGUCAGACUACUGGAAACGAAGGAGGUACACAAAGAAAGGCCUCCAGAAAUCUGUACAAUUUAUGGGUCAGACUACUGGAAACGAAGGAGGUACACAAAGAAAGGCCUCCAGAAAUCUGUACAGUCUUCGGCUGAAUAAAAAUUUGUGCAUACUUAGGGUGAAAUCCCUUGAGGCCAUAGAGGAAAGAAAGAUCUAAUUAAAUAUGCCGGGCAUUCAGUAGAGACCUAGGGGCCACAUCUCAGAAGCAAGGCUAAAUUAGUCCCAGAAAAAAGGCUACAUAGAUCAGUGGUUCUCAAAAGGGAGGGGGAGAUUUUGCCUCCAAGGGGAUAUUUGGCAAUGUCAGAGAUAUAGCAGACAAAUCUAACAUUAUAAACACCUUUGUCUCAGAAUCAAUAAGAAUAAACAAGACUUAAAUUUGACUGACAUUUCUGAAACAGUCUACCCAAGAACUUGCAUUCUUUUCAAGUAUACACAGAACAUUAAUCUAGAACAUAAAACAAGUCUGAAUACAUUUAGGAGGAUUAAGUCAUACAAUGAAUGCUGUCUGACAAAAAUGAGAUUAAAAUAGAAGUCAGUAACAAACAUAUCUGGAGAAAAACCCAAAUGUUUAGAAUUUGACAUUUAAUAAGCUAUAGAUUAAAUAAGGCAUCAUGAUUAAAUAAGGUAUCAUAAAAUUAAAAAUCUCUAGUACUGAAAACACAGCAUAUCAAAAUGUGUGGGAUGCAAUGAAGACAGUGCUUAGAAAAUUUACAGCAUUAAAAGCUUUGAUUAGAAAAGAAAGGUCUCAAUUAAUUAUAUAUGCUUCUACCCUAAACACAAGAAAAAUGGAAAGGAUAAAGAGUAGAAACGAAUAACUAAGAACAUGCAUAAACAACAACAAAAUCAAGACCAAGCUGGUUCUAUGAAAACAUUGGUAAAACUGAAAAACUUUUAGCCAGACUGAUUAAAAAAAAAAAAAAAAAGCAAGAAUAUAUUAAAUACCAAUGUCGGGAAUGAAAGGGAAUAACACUAGAGAUACUGGAGCCAUUAGAAGGAUAUUAUGGGAAUAUUAUGAAUAACUUAACUUUAUACCAAUAAAUUCAACAUUUGAAGGAAACAGUUAAAUUCCUUCAAAGAUGUAAACCAACAAAGCUCACUCAAGAAUAAACAUAUUAUCAGUAAACAUUUGAUGAACUUGUACUUGAAAACCUUUCUACAAAAAAGGCUCCAAACAAACCAAGACAGCUUCACUGCUGAGUUUUACCAAACGUUUAAGAAAGAAAUAAUACCAUAUUAUCAUAACACCAAAGCUAUAGAAUAUAUCCCUCAUGGAUUUAGAUGCAAAAAUACCAAAAUUUUAGUACAAUGAAUUCAGCUAUAUGUAAAAAGGAUACUAUAUCAUAACCAAAUAGGAUUUAUCCCCGGAAUGAAAGGCUAGUCAAUUACUCAGAAAUUAAACAGUAUAUUAUACCAUUAUACCAUAUUAGUGACUAAAAACGAAAAAUAUAUGAUCUUGAGGCACAAAAGCAUAUGAUAAAAGUUUUUUUUGCUAUUAUGAAUAAUGCUGCUAUGAACAUGGGCAGUCAUUAAAUGCAUGGCAAGUCACAAGGGUCAACUACAUACUCUCUAGGAUAGCGAUAAUAAAAAAACCAUACCAAGCUCUGGCAAGGAUGUAGACAAAGUUGUAGGAUCUAGAACAACUAGACAGAAAAUCAGCAAAGAUACAGAAAACUUGAAUUAGUCUAUCAAUCAACUUGACCUAACUGACGUUCAUAAAACUCUACUUAACAAGAGCACAGUAAGUUUUUUUUCAAGCACUCAUGGAACACUCAGGAUAGACCAUAUGCAAGUGCCUAAAAAAGUCUCAGAAGACUUAUUGGAGUCAUUCAAUAUUAGAGUCCUUCAAUGUACCUCCUACCUCAGUGGAAUUAAAUUAGAAAUGAAUAGGAAGAGAUAUGGAAAAUCCCCAAAUAUAUAAAAAUUAAGCAAUACACAUGGGUCAAUGAAAAAAAUCAUGAAGGACAUUAGAAAAUGAAAUGAAUGAAAAUAUACAAAAAAUGUAUAGCUUUAAACAUCUAUAUAAGAAAAUAAGGUCUUCAACUAACAAUGGAAGCUUCUACCUUAAACUAGAAAAAGAGGAACAAAUUAAAUGAAAAGCAAGCAGAAAAGAAGAAAUAAUAAUCAAUGACAUAGGAAACAAAAAGAGAAAAUCAAUGAAACUAAAAAUUUCAAUGAAACUAAAAAUUGGUUCUUUGUAAAGACCAACAAAAUUGAUAAAUUUUUAACUAGACUGACCAUGAAAAAAAGAUGAUCAGGCACAAAUUAUGAAAAUCUAUAAUGGAGGGGACACCUCUAUGGAUCCUACAAAACUUAAAGGAUUACAAACAACUUUAUGCCCAAGUUAGACAACUCAGACAAAAUGGCUCAUUUCAUAGAAACACACAAAUUACAAAACUAUGUCAAGGAAAAAUAUAAAUUCUGAAUAGAUCUAUAUAACAAAUAAGCAAAUAAUUAAAAAUCUUCCCUGAAAGAAAACACAGACCCAGAUGGCUUCACUGGUAACAUGUAUCAAAUAUUUAAAGAAUAAAUAAGAUCAAUACUCUAUAAACUCUUUAAGAAAACAGAAAAUACUUCUCAACUCAUUUUAAGAGGCUAGUACUACCCUGGUAGCAAAGCCAGAAAAAGAUAUCACAAGAAAAGAAAGUUGUAGAUCAGCAUCCUUCAUAAAGAGAGAUAUAAAAAUGAUCAGCAAAAUAUUAGCAAACCAAAUUCAAAAUAUAUAUGGAAAAGAUUAUAUACCAUGAUCUAGUCAGAAAACUAGAUCUUAAACCAUUUCAAGCCAUUUUCCUGAUUUUGCAAAUAAAUUUGUAUUAGAACACAAGCAUUCACAUACUGUAUAUAGCUGCUUUCCUGUUAUAGCUGUAGAAUUGAGAAAUUGCAACAGGGACUAUAUGGCCUACAAAGACAAAUAUGUACUGUGAGUCUCUUUACAGAAGACUAUUUGUGGAACUAUACUCUGCUCAGUAGUAUUUUAGUAGUAUUUUUGGAAAGAGGAUUUGAUGGUCUCCCCACUCCUCCAAAGCUGGAAUUCCUAUUCUUUCUCAACAACUGGAAUUUUUUUUUUUUUUUUUGGAGACGGAGCCUCACUCUGUUGCCCAGGCUGGAGUACAGUGGCACAAUCUCGGCUUACUGCAACCUCUGCCUCCCAGAUUCAAG
rnacentral:lncRNA from 10 species